rnacentral:rRNA from 1 species
CAGUAGCCACGGGAAUACGUAGGGGGCAAGCGUUAUCCGGAUUUACUGGGUGUAAAGGGAGCGCAGACGGCAGUGCAAGUCUGAAGUGAAAGGCGUGGGCUCAACCCAUGAACUGCUUUGGAAACUGUAUAGCUUGAGUGUCGGAGGGGUAAGCGGAAUUCCUAGUGUAGCGGUAAAUGCGUAGAUAUUAGGAGGAACACCGGAGGCGAAGGCGGCUUACUGGUCGACAACUGACGUUGAGGCUCGAAGGCGUGGGGAGCAAACAGGUUUAGAGACCCCUGUAGUCCCUGUCUCUUAUACA